rnacentral:rRNA from 1 species
UACGGAGGGGGCAAGCGUUGUUCGGAAUUACUGGGCGUAAAGGGCGCGCAGGCGGCUGCUCAAGUCAGGCGUGAAAGGCCUGGGCUCAACCCGGGAAUUGCGCUUGAGACUGGGCUGGCUUGAGUGCGGGAGAGGAUGGUGGAAUUCCCAGUGUAGAGGUGAAAUGCGUAGAUAUCUGGAGGAACACCGGUGGCGAAGGCGGCGUUCUGGACUGCAACUGACACUGAAAAACGAAAGCCAGGGGAGCAAACGGG